CUUGACGUUGUCCAAGGGGGAGGCGCUGCCGAUGUGAAAAGCCCACACUCCAGGAAUCCCUAGGUUGCUGUGUCUAAAUAAAACGGAACAGGACAUUGUAACAAGAGUGUCCAGCCACCACCUGCCUACAAAGGCACAGAUUAUACUAAAGAAAAACUCUAUCAGUCAUCUUGGUCUCCUAUUUUCCACUUUCAGUCAAGCAACUCAGAGGUUUUUAAGGAAGCAUGAAAGAUGAGGCUGGUAUUCAGAGAAGGGAUAAAAGCAGUGCUAUUUUUUUUAAGCUGGAGAAUUAAUCAUUAUCAGCGGGUGCCAGCCCAGAUACGGGGUGUGAUGUGGACAAGCAGAGCGAGCUCAUGUGAUGGAACUAAGGAAUGUGCUCGCUCCCAGGCAUCGCAUGGAAAACCCAUCAGGACAAUUUCCGAUAAUGAAGCCGUUGAAAAAUCCUGAGACUUCUAAAACUCCACCAAUCGCCCAAUCGGUCAUCGACCUCCCCUCGGCUGAAGCCCACCCGGGCUGGAAGUUCGAGCUGGACAUUGUAAGAUUCUUUGGGG